UUCCUGCCUUCAGUUCAGUGACAGUCACAAAUCGUGGUGGGGAAGAUGCGUUGGUUACCUCUCUCGGUGGUACUGUUAUGGGCCUGUUCUCUUUACAGUGCCUCUGCGGAUAACAAUGGCGUCAAGAAAAUGAAGGUGCAAUUUGCCACCGGUCCACUUCUCAAAUUCCAGAUAUGUGUCUCCUGAGGAUACAAGCGGGUGUUUGAGGAGUACACGCAGGCUCUGUACCAGCGGUACCCAGACAUCCGCAUCGAAGGAGAGAACUACCUUCCUCUGCCUGUCUACAGGCACAUUGCUUCCUUUCUGUCUAUGUUUAAGCUGUUGUUAAUCGGCGUGAUCAUUGUGGGCAAGGAUCCAUUUGCUCUAUUUGGCAUGCAGGCCCCAGGUCUCUGGGUUUGGAGUCAAGAGAACAAGAUAUAUGCCUGUAUGAUGGUGUUCUUCUUCAGCAAUAUGAUCGAAAAUCAGUGUAUGUCUACGGGUGCUUUUGAAGUCACGCUCAAUGAUGUUCCAGUUUGGUCCAAGCUGGAGUCAGGCCACCUGCCUUCCAUGCAGCAACUAGUCCAAAUCCUGGAGAAUGAGAUGAAGAUGAACGUACACAUGGACACACUUCCACACCAUCGCUCGUAACCUUGCCUCUGAUUCGCUGAUUGGAGCCGGUGACCCCUCCAUGUAUGUUUAACCAUCAUAACCCUAACAAUUCUGUGGUGAAGCUCUCCUACGGUUGUGAGGUGACGUUUAUGAAGGUUUGCUCUGAAAGUAGAGACUCUACUAGCGCACGCCCGAUGUUCCGUGUUCUCCUCACCGUGCCCCUCGGAGAUGCACCACCUGCAGAUGCUGGUGUGGGAUCUACGGCAACAACAGUGGCCAUAUAAUUAUUGCAUCCCAUCUCUUGUACAAUAACCAUUUGGUUCAAAUCAGGAUAUAUGUUCACAAUGACUCCAAUUUUCAUUUAAGUUCAGUUAGCUCAGUCAACAGAAUUUAUGAUGCCAUGUUUUUCUUUCACAUCCUACUGUACUGCUAACUCUUGGUCUUUGUUUUAUUUGAUUAGUAGAUAUGAGAAGCUCCUAACUUAUACACCCAACCCCCAUCAUGAUUAUUUAACAACUAAGUAACAUUAAUUAUAUUUCUUAGCCCUGGAUUUUAUAUUGCUUUGUAUAGCUUAACAUGUUUACUAAAAGGAAAAUAAAAUUGAAUCAAACUAAA